rnacentral:rRNA from 1 species
GAUGAACGCUGGCGGCGUGCUUAACACAUGCAAGUCGAACGAGAAAUGGAGACGGAAGCCUUCGGGCGGAAGGCUUCAUUUCGAGUGGCGGACGGGUGAGUAACGCGUGGGUAACCUGCCUCAUACAGGGGGAUAACAGUUGGAAACGACUGUUAAUACCGCAUAAGACCACAGCACCGCAUGGUGCGGGGGUAAAAACUCCGGUGGUAUGAGAUGGACCCGCGUUCGAUUAGCCAGUUGGCGGGGUAACGGCCCACCAAAGCGACGAUCGAUAGCCGAUCUGAGAGGCUGACCGGCCACGUUGGGACUGAGACACGGCCCACACUCCUACGGGAGGCAGCAGUGGGGAAUAUUGCACACUGGGGGAAGACCUGAUGCAGCGACGCCGCGUGAGUGAAGAAGUGCUUCGGUAUGUAAAGCUCUAUCAGCAGGGAAGAAAAUGACGGUACCUGAGUAAGAAGCCCCGGCUAACUACGUG